rnacentral:RNase_P_RNA from 1 species
AGAGCAGGGCAAAUGGUCGCUGUUCGAUAGGGGUUAUCCCAAAACGUGCCUCCUGCGAAGAGAGGAAAGUCCGGGCUCCACAGGGUAGGGUGCUCCGUAACACGGAGUCCCGGUGACGGGAAGGAAAGUGCCACAGAAAAUAUACCGCCCCUCAUCCAGUUCUCAUUUUCGAGGUCGGCAUUCAAUAUCCGCCAAAAUCACUUAGGACUGGGUGCGGGGUAAGGGUGAAAAGGCGAGGUAAGAGCUCACCGCUCUGGUGGCGACAUCGGAGGCUUGGCAAACCCCACCCGGAGCAAGACCAAAUAGAGGGACGUUUGAGGGCUACCCGUCCGAGUCCCUGGGUGGGUUGCUUUAUCCCAUUAGCAAUAAUGGGAAUAGAUGAAUGACCAUUGUCCCGUAAAGGGUAACCAAUACGGGAAACAGAACCCGGCUUAUGACCUGCUCUAACA